ensembl:snoRNA SNORA18 small nucleolar RNA, H/ACA box 18
GCUGAGGUCUAUCCCGACAGACCUUUACCUGUAGGGCCGAGUCGUUGGAAAUGCCUCAGAGAGAAAAUCUGUAGUUUCGCUUUACCCACGUGUUCACUACCAUGAGCAUUGUGGGAUAUUACUGCAGGACACAU